UACGGAGGGUGCGAGCGUUAUCCGGAAUCACUGGGUUUAAAGGGUGCGUAGGCGGCUCGGUAAGUCAGUUGUGAAAGCCCCUUGCUUAACGAGGGAGUUGCGAUUGAUACUGUCGACCUUGAAUCGGGAUGAGGCAGGCGGAAUGUGGCAUGUAGCGGUGAAAUGCAUAGAUAUGCCAUAGAACACCGAUUGUGAAGGUAGCCUGCUGGGCCUGUAUUGACGCUGAGGCACGAAAGCGUGGGGAGCAAACAGG
rnacentral:rRNA from 1 species